rnacentral:rRNA from 1 species
GACGAACCGUCCUAACGUUGUUCGGAUUCACUGGGCUUAAAGGGCGCGUAGGCGGGCAGGCAAGUCCGGGGUGAAAUCUUUCGGCUUAACCGGAAAACGGCCUUGGAUACUGCUUGUCUUGAGGGAGGUAGGGGUCUGCGGAACUUCCGGUGGAGCGGUGAAAUGCGUUGAUAUCGGAAGGAACGCCGGUGGCGAAAGCGGCGGACUGGACCUCUUCUGACGCUGAGGCGCGAAAGCCAGGGUAGCGAACGGG